ensembl:snRNA U4atac minor spliceosomal RNA
ACUUUCCUUGUCAUGGGGUGGCAUGGGAUAUUCAAUGAACGUGUAGUGAGCAUAUCCCUGCUAACACCAUAAUCAACACAUCCGCACCGCCUGAGCUUCUUGCUCAGGGUUUGGUGCAAUUUUUGGAACC